rnacentral:siRNA from 1 species
UAUUAAGUAACGUCCUUCCAAACC